AAUUACUGUGAUGAUAAUUUCCACCAACACUGACCUACAGUGAUUAAAGUAACAAUGCACUACCAUCUGAGAGUUU
rnacentral:snoRNA from 1 species